UUACGUGUAAUUGAUACACUUCUGUUGAAUAUUUACUUCAAAGAAAUUAUUUAGUGUCUUCGAAAAAAUCCGUUAGCAUCUCAACCGUUUUCAGAAGCGGUUGGCUAACUAACUCUGUAUUUUGAGCUCUUAUUUAAUGAAAGUUUGGGCUUUUAAUCGCAUCUUUAUGUAUAGAUGAGAUGUUAUAAUAGUUUUGUAGAGGUUUUGCUGGCAAAUUGUUAAUGGAUGAUAGUAAACUAAUUUAUUUAAUGUUAAAGUUGCUGUACCGUUAAUCGGUGACGUCACUUACACGGAGCGCGAAAAUUAACUGAAACUGUUUCAAACACGUUUUGAUCUCUAAUGGUAAACAAAUAUGGAUAAAAAAUGUUCUGCAAUUUCAGGGGCGACAGAAAAGCCCCUCUACAACAAAGGGGAAGCUGACAGAGAAGGAGGAAACACAGUUAAGAAGUCUUUGACAUCCAAACAUCCUUCCAUGCUGAUGGCCUCCUGCACUCCAGCAGAGCUGAGCGACCUCCUGUCAAAGGCUAUGAACCAGAUGACUAUAUUAUGUUUGCUAGUGAGACAGACACCAUACUGUUCCACUCAAAGAUGCUGACUGUGGUUCAGGGGGUCGACAACUUUAAGCAUAUGAGAUGCAAUCUCUAGCGUUUGGUGCUGAGAUUCUUCAGGACAAGGCCUUGAUGCCAUUCACACUCAGUACAUGAAGAUGAUUCACCAAACAUCUGGCUGAUUACUGGCAAUUUGCAGUAAAGACAGUGAACAAGUGAAGAGAGUGGAGGGGAUGGCAUCAGAAAGGACCUUGAGCUAGGACUGUCUUGGAUCACCCAAACCACAACUACUAUGUGUCCAAGCACUGAACAAGGCUUUUCUCCUUAAAUAUUAAAUGUAUUUAAUUUAAGGCAGGGUUUUAUUUUUCCUGCAUAGUGAAUUACUAGGUGGCUGCCUCUGUCAAAUCUGAUGCUGUCUCCAGCUAUUAACAAAACUCAGGCAGGCAGUCACAUGCUCCGAUACCCCUUUUCCACCAACACGGUUCUGUUGCAGGCUCCUGCCUGUGUCCAUUCUCAAACUGUUCUACGCACCUCCACUGCACAAAAGGCAGUUCCAGGUCAGAAAUAUCGGUACCCUCCCUCUUCAACAUCCUUCGCCAGUCAUCACAUUCACAACCACCACAGUCAACGCAAGUCAAGGUCCCUGGUCCACAGCAUCAACCAUCUUUUUAGGAAGAUGAAUACUGCAUUUCUUGAUUUAUCUUUAAAAUUUACAGUUUUCUUAUGGAGUGCAAUCCCUCUCUAGACGGACUGAGGUCUAUCGGUCUUACAAAAUACUGUCAGACACUGCAUAUGAUGUUCUCAAAAUAAAAUAAAAAAAUAAUUAAAAUAUUUAAGAA